rnacentral:lncRNA from 1 species
AUCUAAGGUAAGAUCAAUAACUCCAAUUUCAUUCCUUUCCUUUCCAAUGAAGCCUAAAUUCAUUCUUAAGUUUAUGCUCAUUUGGGUUAUUUGCAUGUGAUCACCUUUUAAGAGUUAGAGAGAAGAAUUAGCACUGAAUAAGUAUGUUAGAGCAGAAGAACAUGGGCACAAGAUGGAAGCUUGAAGUUUUGAUUGUGGAUUUUUGAAGAAAUUUGGGUUAAACCCGUAUUCAAGGACAGACCUUCCCUAAAAAGGUAAUUGUUCUCUCUUUGUAACUCCGAAUGAUAUGUUGUUUGUUUAUGUGUAUAGCUAACUCAAAUAUGGUCGUUAUGAUAUCAGUUUUAUAAUUUUUGGACGAGGGAUGAGGUUGGUAGCCAUUUUUGAAGUUGGAAGUCAGUAGAAGGAAUUGUGCAGAAAAUCUGAUUUUUUUUUGUUUUUAUGGGCUACAGGUUUGCAUUUUGAGCGGCUCAAACGGAUGAUUAUAAGCGUGUGAAACAGUUCGGAAUUGCUAUCAACUCAGGUGGGUUCCCUUAAGUUCAAUUUCACCUUAAUAGAGUAGUUCAUAGUUUUCCCCAAAUAUUAAACUAUGCAUGACAACUUAAGUUUGGUUAUGUUUAGGAUUAAAUUAGAAUAACUCAUUAACUGAUUAAUUAACCACUUAAAUAAGCCCUGCAUGUUGAAUUGACUGUAAUAUGUGGAAUUUAGUACGAAGUAUAAUUAUGUAAGCUGAAUUGGACAUAAACACUAUGUUGAGUUAUGCAGGAUUCCGUGGUUGAAUCGGCUCAACCAGAGCUUGCAUUGAUCCAUAAGUUUCCUUGUGAAGCAAAAAUGUGUCUUAUGCGCCUCAUGAGCCGGUUCAUGCCUUGAAUGAGCCUGUGCAUAAGCGCAUAAUGUAUUUUAUUAAAAUCUGGGAAAUGUUGCAUCGGUACAAACGUUGUGUGAACCGGCUUAAGCAUGUCCUGGGUGAGUUUGAAUUGCUACAAGGCAAACUUGUGUCGAUGCAUAUAAGUCAAAUAUCUUGCUUUCUUAAAAACUGGAUUAUAUGCAUUGGUACAUAGAACCCUUGAACCGGUGCAAACAAAAUAAUUUACUAAAAACCUUUUGGCUUAUAUAUAGGAGGUAUAAUAACCGUUUUAUUUCAACUGAAAAUCCUCCAUUAUGAACAUUAUUUUAUAAAAACUAUAAGUGACUAGAAUUCCACGAUUACGGACUUUCGUACAUGUAUUAAAAUCAGUUAGACAAUUGAAUCAGGAUAUUCAGGAUUGUUAGAAAUACCCUCGGGAAGGUUUUCUUUUCUUUGUGCAGGAUAACCAUUCAAGAUUAUGAACAUUAGUUACCAUGUCAUGAGAAUCAUUUCAGAAUCCGAGAAAUUUAAUAAGAACUGCAAGCUGAGGUGGAACCCGACGUAUAUUAUUAUCGGUAGUACGAGGACUAGGCACUCCGGGACCCGCUUGCCUCGAAGUGACCCUAUGCGGAUAAUAUUGACAAGAUAAUAAUAAGCGGUACACCUUUACUGCUUUAUAUUAUUAUGUUAUGAAUUAUGUCAGGAUUAGUACUAUUAGAAGUUCAGGAUCAGGUUAUGUUAGAAACUAUUAGUUUUAGUUGCCCUGGUGUAGUCACCAGUAGUUGGGUAGUAGGAACUCACUGAGGCUUAGUAGUGUCAUCCCACGCCCUUCAAAUUUUUUUAGGUAAAUAGGUUAACCUGAGCAAGGACCAGACAGGAACCGAUGAUCGACGUUGCGCUUGGAUUAUCGGAUUAGAAGACUUUCGUUAAGCUGUUAAGUUGGGAUACAAUUUGUUAAGUUGUUAAGUUGAGAUACAAUUCUCUUUCGUUUGUAUUGUACUGGAUUUUCACAUUGUUCUUGUGAUAUCUUGUAAAUUCAAUAAAUUAUUUUUGAAUUUUAAGGUGCUCGGAUUUCAAUUAUUAAAUAUUCUAGUCAAUUUAGUUGGG